AUUGAACGCUGGCGGCAUGCUUUACACAUGCAAGUCGAACGGUAACAGGCCUUCGGGUGCUGACGAGUGGCGAACGGGUGAGUAAUGCAUCGGAACGUACCCAGAGGUGGGGGAUAACGCAGCGAAAGCUGUGCUAAUACCGCAUGUGAUCUGAGGAUGAAAGCGGGGGACCGAGCAGCAAUGUUUGGCCUCGCGCCUUUGGAGCGGCCGAUGUCGGAUUAGCUAGUUGGUGGGGUAAAGGCCUACCAAGGCGACGAUCCGUAGCUGGUCUGAGAGGACGACCAGCCACACUGGGACUGAGACACGGCCCAGAGUCCUACGGGAGGCAGCAGUGGGGAAUUUUGGACAAUGGGCGCAAGCCUGAUCCAGCAAUGCCGCGUGCGGGAAGAAGGCCGUCGGGUUGUAAACCGCUUUUGGCAGGAACGAAACGGUGUCCGCUAAUACCGGGCGCUAAUGACGGUACCUGCAGAAUAAGCACCGGCUAACUACGUG
rnacentral:rRNA from 1 species